UGAUUCUUCUGGCAGAGCGUCUUUCUGGU
rnacentral:piRNA from 1 species